rnacentral:rRNA from 1 species
GCCGUCUGGGGUGCGAUUGACGCUGAGGCUCGAAAGUGCGGGAAUCAAACAGGAUUAGAUACCCUGGUAGUCCGCACAGUAAACGAUGAAUGCUCGUUCUGGGCGAUACAAUGUCCGGCACCUAGGGAAACCAUUAAGCAUUCCACCUGGGGAGUACGCCGGCGACGGUGAAACUCAAAGGAAUUGACGGGGGCCCGCACAAGCGGAGGAACAUGUGGUUUAAUUCGAUGAUACGCGAGGAACCUUACCCGGGCUUGAACUGCGACUGACGAAUGCAGAGAUGCAUUUUCCCUUCGGGGCAGUUGUGGAGGUGCUGCAUGGUUGUCGUCAGCUCGUGCCGUGAGGUGUCGGCUUAAGUGCCAUAACGAGCGCAACCCUUGCCGUCGGUUGCCAUCACGUAAUGGUGGGCACUCCGUUGGGACUGCCAUCGCAAGAUGUGAGGAAGGUGGGGAUGACGUCAAAUCAGCACGGCCCUUACGUCCGGGGCUACACACGUGUUACAAUGGGGGGCACAGCGCGCCGCUACCCGGUGACGGGAUGCGAAUCGUGAAAUCCCCUCUCAGUUCGGACUGGAGUCUGCAACCCGACUCCACGAAGCUG